GGGAAGGAGUCAACGCUCCAUCAACCACUUAUUACAUCAUAAACGAGGAUUUCGGUCCUCCCACCUCAAUUCCAAAUGCAGUGUGGAGUUCUAUUAAUAGUGGCGGGAUUGCAACUCCUGAUUGUGGAACUAUAGACUUGUCUGGGUUUAGCACUCUUGCUGCCUUUUUCUCUGGUGCUGGCACAAGAUCUAUAGAAACAAAAGCUCUGAAUCUUAUUAGUGCCGGAGAUUUGUCGUUUCGUGUUCGAAUUGGCGGUGGGGGUGGCUGUGAUCCUGGAGAGAAUAAUGGUGAGGACGUAACGGUAGAAUACAAGACAUCAACUGCAUCAUCAUAUGUGGAACUGAAGCGUCUUUCAUAUUCCGCUUAUGGAACUGCUCAGACGGUCACUAUUAAUCUACCCAUUGCUGCCAAAACGACUAGCACAACUUUGCGAUGGAGGCAACUUGGCCAUAGUGG